GCCAGGUGUGGUGGUGCACACCUGUAGUCCCAGCUACUCAGGAGGCUGAGGCAGGAGGAUUGCUUGAGCCCAGGAGGUCGAGGCUGCAGUGAGCCAUGAUCGUGCCACUGUACUCCAGCCUGGGCAACAGCAAGACCCUGUCUUAU
rnacentral:SRP_RNA from 1 species